rnacentral:rRNA from 1 species
AUACGGCCAUACCCACUGGAAAACUCGGGAUCCCGUCCGCUCUCCCAUAGAUAAGCCAGUGAGGGCCGGAUUAGUAGUUGGGUCGGUGACGACCAGCGAAUACCUGGUGUUGUAUG